rnacentral:sRNA from 1 species
AACUGGUGCGGGAGGAGGUGACCUUCAUCUAUCAGAAGCUCCAGGCGCAGGAGGAUGAGAUCUCAGAGAACCUGGUGAACAUUCAGAAAAUGCAGAAAACGCAGGUGAAAUGCCGCAAAAUCCUGACCAAGAUGAAGCAGCAGGGUCACGAGACAACUGCCCGGCCGGAGACUGAAGAGAUACCGCAGGGAGCCAGUGGCUGCUGGAAGGAUGACCUCCAGAAGGAACUGAGUGAUAUAUGGUGAUGCCCAGCCCACAGUCUGACCCCUGACCCUCCUCUGAACCCCUUCCCCCAACGGGAUCUGGCAGCGACCACCAGAACCUGGAGCCCACCUGAGUCCAGACCUCCCUCACCCCCUAGGACUCACCCCCACCACGGCCCCCAACCUUAGCCCUACUGCUGUCCACACCCUGAGCAAUGUGGAGUCUCCCAGCUCCUCAUCUUCCUGCAGGUCUGCUGUGCACGUGCUGCAGAACUCCAUAGACAGCCUCACCAUGUGCUCGGGGGCCGCUCUCAAGGCCUCGAGCCUAAGAGGCCACAAGGGGCACUGGUGUCUGAGCCCUCCACUCCCCUCCUGGGACUCUGACUCCGACUCUGACCAGGACCUCUCCCAGCCACCUUUCAGCAAGAGCGGCAACUCCUUCCCAGCUGCUUGAGCAGCCGGGACUGCUCUCCCUGAAGACCCCUCCAGAGAGAAAAUAAACUAGCCGAGACCCUCCUCUA